GGGCCUGGCCCUUGGUCUGGGAGCAUAUACUACCACUCCUUGAAACCUACAAAUGAAGCUAUUCACCUCUCCCAGUUUUAAGUGGAAGAAAAUACAGCCAAGCUCUUCAAGCCCUUGUGUCGCGCCUCUGGGAGCUGCAUUCUUGCCCUCGAGUGGUCAGUCAGCGAAGCAGAAUAGCCAAUAUAUCACUCGCAGGAGCCUUUAUUGGAGGCUUGAAUCUGGAUCAACGUAUCUGCAGGCUACUGUAACCGGGAAAUGAUUCUUCUGAUUCCUGACAAUGGGUCCUCUUCUGUCGCGAAGGAAGCAUUUGUCAUUUCCCCCUGGCUGCACUUGGGUUUGGCUGAGCGUGCUUAUUUACCCCAGCACUUUGUACACACCGGGAGAGCGUCCUUGGGGAGGAGAUGGGGCCAACACGAGCCAAGGCUAACAAAUUGUGCAGUAACGCAGCGUGCCAUGCUUGUGCCCAAGGUGAAACAGGAGGGCAACACUGUGAUGUGCUCUGGACAUGGCCUGUAAGGCAGGAGCAGGGGACAGAGGGUAUUUGACUUGGGUCCUAUGUACGUGAAACCAUUGCACCUCUGUCGAAUUGCAGUGCUGCUUUCUGCUGGCCCCAAUACAGUCUGCUCUGUGUAGUG